ensembl:lncRNA
CCGAAACUUUGCCUUGAAAUGCAAUCACUUUGCCCAUUGCCUGGUGUCUCAAGAAUUCUGUACUGUGGCGAAGCGAGUCUAACAAGCUCUCCGGCCGCGCCAAGCCAGGCCCUUUAUCUGUGCUCUCUCUGUCAGGCAGAAAGACAUGGAUGGACACUAACUGAGUUCUGUGUGCCUGAUGAAUCAUCCACUGUAGACUGUCGGAUUUUGUAAUAGGCCUUUUAUCUUCCUCCAUUUUGGCAGGGGUGUUUGUGCCUUAAGAAACGUGUUUUUUUUUGUUGUUGUUUUAUUUUUUGAAGGGACAUUUUCCUUCUAGAAGCAUAUUUUACUUCCCGUGAGGAUCACACUGGAUCUCUGUGCAACAGUGAAUAGCACUAAAGAGUUAGUGUCAGAAAGAUGUCGGGAGGUAGGGGGUCAGAGAAUGGAAGAAAAUGUGGGUAAUGGCUGCAACAAAGAGACCAACCUGCAUUGGAGUGUUGAGAGAUUGCACAGGGGUAUUGAGAGGAUGCACAGGGGUGUUGAGAGGUUGCACAGGGGUGUUGAGAGGUUGCACAGGGAUGUUGAGAGGUUGCACAGGGAUGUUGAGAGGAUGCACAGGGGUGUUGCACAGGGGUUUUGAGAGGAUGCACAGGGGUAUUGAGAGGUUGCACAGGGGUAUUGAGAGGUUGCACAGGGGUAUUUAGAAGUUGCACAGGGGUGUUGCUCAGUGGUGUUGACAGGACGCACAAGUAGGGAUGAGAAUUGAUAAGAUUUUAACGAUUCCGAUGCCUUAUCGAUUCCUGCUUAUCGAUUCGAUUCCUUAUCGAUUCUUUUAUCGAUUCUUAUUGGGCAAGGGGUGAAAAAAAGAGCACAAACGGGUUUAUUUACAUUCAUUUUCUUUUAUAUAAUUUUCUAUAAUGCUGCACACACCAUAUACAGUAUGUAUAUACACAUUAAAAAAAAAAAAAUAACCAAAAACAUUUAUACAUAUUCCUCUUGAACUUAAAAUAAAACUUACAUACCUUAAAUAAAAUGUAUUCUUGUGGUAGGGUGGUGUUGUUACACCUACACUCCCUGCUUUUACAUUCACAUUCAAUCAGCCCAACUAUCGUCAGCCUAGUCACUGAUAACCUCCACUUAGAUGGAGAUAAAAGGACCAGACGUUGUGUGCGUGCAUUACGGUGUCUGUAACCACACCCCGUCUCCUAUUGAGGUGCUUUCCUGAUUUGCCGGGUAGGUGUUUGUUUGCUGGCGAGUGGUACAACUUUUACCCAUUACUUUGGGGCUUACCUUUUCGUGUUUGUUUUGUAGCCCUGUAUUCCUAGCCUUCCCUCUGACGCUCGCCUUCGGUAUGUCCUUGUCCCUGCAUGUUCAGGUAUGCCUUUCCUAUUUUCAUUAACGCUGGAGGAGUAGCCUCUUUUCACACUGGCUCUAAUUAGCGCAUAUGUUUUACAGUGAGGAACCGUAAUUCGCCGCUGACCUCGUCGUUCCUGUGAUAACUGUCUGAUAACUGCCUGAUCACAAAGGUGCUGCUGUUUUGUUUAAACCUGACAAUGCGUGUAUGAUUCAGCAUGCUCGUGACUCUGCUAAACUGUUGUUGUGCAUGUUGGUCUGACCUAUAUCUGAGCUGGGUUUUCGUUUUCUUUGUCGUGUUCUUUUUGUCUGGGCAUUGUACCAUCUUGUCAACUCCAAUGGAGUAAUGCUUCUGUCUAGUGUGUUUUCUGUCUGCAUGUGACUGGGGAUAAGGCUGGUGGCGCUGUAGCUGUCCUGGUGCAUGCUUGUUGUUUGUUCUGGUCUGUAGUUAGUCCCUAUGCAUGAUUGCUAUUACUGUCUGAGUGAUUCGUGCUUAGGAUGGACUGUUGAUAUCCCCUGGUGCAAUAAUUGUUUUCAUUUUAUUUGUUAAGCAGUUGCUAGGUGCUUCCAGAGGGAGGCUAGGCACCUGGUGGUGGGCCCCUGUCACUGUG